CGGAAUCUACUUUUUCGUGGGGGAUAACGUAGGGAAACUUACGCUAAUACCGCAUACGACCUACGGGUGAAAGCAGGGGAUCUUCGGACCUUGCGCGAUUGAAUGAGCCGAUGUCGGAUUACCUAGUUGGCGGGGUAAAGGCCCACCAAGGCGACGAUCCGUAGCUGGUCUGAGAGGAUGAUCAGCCACACUGGAACUGAAACACGGUCCAGACUCCUACGGGAGGCAGCAGUGGGGAAUAUUGGACAAUGGGCGCAAGCCUGAUCCAAACCAUACCGCGUGGGUGAAGAAGGCCUUCGGGUUGUAAAGCCCUUUUGUUGGGAAAGAAAUCCAGCUGGUUAAUACCCGGUUGGGAUGACGGUACCCAAAGAAUAAGCACCGGCUAACUUCGUGCCAGCAGCCGCGGUAAUACGAAGGGUGCAAGCGUUACUCGGAAUUACUGGGCGUAAAGCGUGCGUAGGUGGUCGUUUAAGUCCGUUGUGAAAGCCCUGGGCUCAACCUGGGAACUGCAGUGGAUACUGGACGACUAGAGUGUGGUAGAGGGUAGCGGAAUUCCUGGUGUAGCAGUGAAAUGCGUAGAGAUCAGGAGGAACAUCCAUGGCGAAGGCAGCUACCUGGACCAACACUGACACUGAGGC
rnacentral:rRNA from 1 species